rnacentral:rRNA from 1 species
UACGUAGGCAGCGAGCGUUGUUCGGAGUUACUGGGCGUAAAGAGUGCGUAGGCGGUUUUCUAAGUUUGGUGUGAAAGCCCCCGGCUCAACUGGGGAGGGUCACGCGAUACUGAUCGACUCGAAGGCAGGAGAGGGUAGUGGAAUUCCCGGUGUAGUGGUGAAAUGCGUAGAUAUCGGGAGGAACACCAGUGGCGAAGGCGACUACCUGGCCUGUUUCUUGACGCUGAGGCGCGAAAGCUAGGGGAGCAAACGGG